UCUACGUAUGAACAUUACCCCACACGAUUAUAGAUCCAGUGGCAUUUUAGUAAUCUCACUUUAACUACAAAUCUUUCAUCACCUUCCCCAUUGUAUUUACACUCUGAUCUCUCAAACCAAAAAACACUUUUCUCCCCAUUCACUGACCUCAUCGGAGAAUUCAGUUUCCGAUCUCCGACGAUUGAUCUCUACAGAGGCUAGUUCAAUCUCAAUUCCACAACAAUGCCUCUCAGACUCGAAAUCAAGCGAAAGCUUGCGCAGAGAUCAGAAAGAGUGAAAUGUGUGGAUCUACAUCCAACAGAACCAUGGAUUCUGGCAAGUUUAUACUCUGGAACAGUCUGUAUCUGGAACUACCAAUCUCAGACCAUGGCCAAAUCUUUCGAGGUCACUGAGUUACCAGUUAGAUCAGCCAAGUUUGUUGCACGCAAACAGUGGGUUGUUGCUGGAGCUGAUGAUAUGUUUAUUCGUGUAUAUAAUUACAAUACAAUGGAUAAAGUCAAAGUAUUUGAAGCACAUACAGAUUACAUUAGGUGUGUGGCAGUUCAUCCCACCCUUCCUUAUGUUCUAUCAUCAUCUGAUGAUAUGCUCAUAAAGCUUUGGGAUUGGGAAAAAGGCUGGAUUUGUACCCAGAUAUUUGAAGGACAUUCUCAUUAUGUUAUGCAAGUGACAUUUAAUCCUAAAGACACAAAUACCUUUGCCAGUGCAUCUCUUGAUCGUACUAUAAAGAUUUGGAAUCUUGGCUCUCCUGAUCCUAAUUUUACAUUGGAUGCUCACCAGAAAGGAGUGAAUUGCGUUGAUUACUUUACAGGCGGUGACAAACCCUAUCUAAUAACCGGUUCUGACGAUCACACUGCAAAGGUGUGGGAUUAUCAGACUAAAAGUUGUGUCCAGACCCUGGAUGGUCACACACACAAUGUUUCUGCUGUAUGCUUUCAUCCUGAACUUCCUAUAAUAAUUACUGGUUCUGAGGACGGUACAGUGCGCAUAUGGCACUCAACAACUUAUAGGCUUGAGAAUACAUUGAACUAUGGUCUUGAAAGAGUUUGGGCUAUUGGAUACAUGAAGAGUUCACGUCGGGUUGUGAUUGGAUAUGACGAAGGAACAAUUAUGGUCAAACUUGGUCGAGAAGUACCUGUAGCUAGCAUGGACAACAGUGGAAAAAUUAUUUGGGCUAAACAUAAUGAAAUUCAGACUGUCAAUAUAAAGAGCAUAGGAGCAGAUUUGGAGGUUGCUGAUGGAGAAAGGUUGCCUUUGGCUGUUAAGGAGCUGGGCACUUGUGAUCUUUACCCACAAAAUUUAAAGCACAAUCCUAAUGGAAGGUUCGUUGUUGUAUGUGGAGAUGGUGAGUAUAUUAUAUACACUGCAUUGGCAUGGAGAAAUAGGUCAUUUGGUUCAGCGCUAGAGUUUGCUUGGUCUACGGAUGGAGAAUAUGCCGUCAGAGAAAGUACUUCAAAAAUUAAAAUUUUCAGCAAAAGUUUCCAGGAAAAGAAGAGUGUCCGACCGACAUUUUCAGCCGAACGAAUAUUUGGUGGCACUUUACUGGCAAUAUGUUCAAAUGAUUUCAUCUGCUUCUAUGAUUGGUCUGAAUGCAGGUUGAUUUACCGCAUUGAUGUCAAUGUGAAAAACCUCUACUGGGCUGAUAGUGGUGACCUAGUAACAAUUGCUAGUGAUACAUCAUUCUACAUCCUGAAGUACAAUCGUGAUGUUGUUGCGUCACAUAUAGAUAGUGGUAGACCCGUAGAUGAGGAAGGUGUUGAAGAUGCUUUUGAGCUUCUUCAUGAAAUGAAUGAACGUGUAAGGACAGGUAUCUGGGUUGGGGAUUGCUUUAUCUACAACAAUUCCUCUUGGAGACUUAAUUACUGUGUUGGCGGAGAGGUGACUACAAUGUUCCAUUUGGACCGCCCUAUGUACUUGUUGGGAUAUCUUGCAAACCAAAGUCGGGUGUUUUUGAUUGACAAAGAAUUUAAUGUUGUGGGAUACACACUGCUUUUGAGUUUGAUAGAGUACAAGACACUUGUGAUGCGCGGUGAUUUGGAAAGGGCUAAUGAAGUUCUACCAUCAAUUCCUAAAGAGCAUCAUAACAGUGUUGCUCGAUUCCUGGAAUCACGGGGGAUGAUAGAGGAUGCUCUUGAAGUAGCUACAGACCCUGACUACAGAUUUGAUCUAGCAAUACAGCUUGGGAGAUUAGAAGUUGCAAAGGGCAUUGCACUAGAGGUGCAGAGUGAGUCUAAAUGGAAGCAGCUGGGAGAAUUAGCUAUGUCUUCUGGAAAGUUACAAAUGGCUGAGGAAUGUUUGAAUCAUGCAAUGGAUUUGAGUGGGUUGUUACUGCUAUAUUCUUCUUUCGGAGAUGCUGAAGGAAUUUCAAAACUUGCAACCCUUGCUAAGGAGCAAGGGAAGAACAAUGUUGCAUUCCUUUGCUUAUUUAUGUUGGGUAAACUUGAAGACUGCCUUCAACUAUUGAUAGAAAGUAAUCGAAUUCCAGAGGCAGCUUUAAUGGCUCGAUCCUAUCUCCCAAGUAAGGUCCCAGAGAUAGUGGCAAUUUGGAGAAAAGAUCUCAAUAAGGUUAAUCCAAAAGCUGCUGAAUCAUUGGCUGAUCCUGAGGAAUAUCCAAAUUUGUUUGAAGACUGGCAGGUUGCACUUGCUGUUGAAUCUAAAGCUGCAGAAACAAUGAAUGUUUACCCUCCAGCGGAGCAGUACAUCAACCAUGCUGACAAACCACAUAUUACCCUUGUUGAAGCUUUCAGAAACAUGCAGAUUGAAGAGGAGGAGCCCCUUGAGAAUGGAGAAUCUAAUCAUGAGUUGACUGAACAAAAUGAAGAACACUAUGCAGAAGAACAUAAUGGAGAGGAAGGAAGCCAAGAAGAGGCUGUUGUAGUGGAUGCCGAAUCAACAGAUGGUGCGGUACUCGUCAACGGUAACGAGGCUGACGAAGAGUGGGGUACGAAUAAUGAAGGAGCCCCGUCAGCCUAAAAGCAAUUGGUUGGGGUGGUGUGAAAAUCGAAAUUUUGUCUCUGGUGAUUAAUUGAUUCUGAAGUGCCAUUUCUAACUCCCAUUUGACAACUACCUGGUUUUACUAUAACUACUUAUACCACCUCUGAGUCCUACUAAUUAUAAUGGCUUUCAAUUUUUAGCAUAUUGGAUGUUUACUGCAGUUAGGCUGUAUAUUUGGGAAUGGGGGAGAAGAUUUUAAAAUAAUGUCCAUAGUCAAUGAUGAAUAAUUGACUAAAUCUCAUAACUAUAUUUUCUCCAUGAUUUUAAUGACUAUUUGAGCUUGGGGUUUGUACCGUUUUAUACUCAUUGCACGACCGUCUCUAAUUUAUUAACAUCAAAUUUUUUUACAUUUAAUUUUACAAAAUGUUUCUCGUAAAAUGUUUCUUGUAAAAUCUAAUGUACAUUAUCUUAAAAAUUUUAAGAAUUACUUUUGAUAUUGAACGGUUUAAUUGCUUUACUAACUUUUAAGAUAAUUAAUAGCUUGUUUUGUUUAUUUACUUGGAAAACUUUGUUUGCUAUAUACUAUGUACCUUUGCCAUAUUGUUGAUUGCAAUUAUGAACUUCUUUUCAAUAAACCUGUUUCUUUUUAGUUUUUAUUUCAUUUAUCUGUCCUAAAAUAUUCUUCUUUGUUGACAGUGCUUGCACCACAUCACUAGGUCCCAUCAAGACAGUCGGUUCCAGCUUCUGGGAUAUAUAUCUGAGGUUUCCUCAAAAAGCCAUGAAUGGAUACUGCGGACUGGUUGUUUCUGUUUCCUGGUGUUGUGGUUUUCUAGUGCUCUGAAUUUAGACAUUUUGACUGCGGCAUAACAAUAUCCUUAGGGUCGGUUACAAUUUACUAGAGUUUAUAGCACAUUUUUUUGGGAAUAUUACCUCAAUAUAUUCGUGCCAUUGUGAAUGUAGAAAAGUUGAACUAGAGAUUGGGUGCCUGGUUAAAUUUUAGAUAGUUUUUUUCUUGCCCGUUGUUUUUUUAUAUAUAUAUUUUUGGAUUGUAAACUUGGAUGGUUGAUAGAGAAAAUAAUAACCCUUCUCCAGGGUUACUUCUGUUGA